rnacentral:rRNA from 1 species
UACGUAGGGUGCAAGCGUUAAUCGGAAUUACUGGGCGUAAAGCGUGCGCAGGCGGUUUUGUAAGUCUGACGUGAAAUCCCCGGGCUUAACCAGGGAAUUGCGUUGGAGACUGCAAGGCUGGAGUCUGGCAGAGGGGGUAGAAUUCCACGUGUAGCAGUGAAAUGCGUAGAGAUGUGGAGGAACACCGAUGGCGAAGGCAGCCCCCUGGGUCAAGACUGACGCUCAUGCACGAAAGCGUGGGGAGCAAACAGG